GUGAGGAAUAUUGGUCAAUGGGCGGAAGCCUGAACCAGCCAUGCCGCGUGAAGGAUGAAGGUUCUAUGGAUUGUAAACUUCUUUUAUUUGGGAAUAAACCCUCCGACGUGUUGGAGGCUGAAGGUACCAAAUGAAUAAGCACCGGCUAACUCCGUGCCAGCAGCCGCGGUAAUACGGAGGGUGCAAGCGUUAUCCGGAAUCAUUGGGUUUAAAGGGUCCGCAGGCGGAUUUAUAAGUCAGUGGUGAAAGCCUACAGCUCAACUGUAGAACUGCCAUUGAUACUGUAAGUCUUGAAUUCGGUCGAAGUGGGCGGAAUAUGACAUGUAGCGGUGAAAUGCAUAGAUAUGUCAUAGAACACCGAUAGCGAAGGCAGCUCACUAGGCCUGAAUUGACGCUCAUGGACGAAAGCGUGGGGAGCAAACAGGAUUAGAAACCCGAGUAGCC
rnacentral:rRNA from 1 species